AAUCAGUUGUUUUUGCUUUUGAUUCUGUUGAUAUUACUUUUAAUUGCCUUAUAUAGCUAACUAUGUUACAAGCAGGUGUUUUUAGUUUUUUUUUUUAGGAAAUCAUGAUUUUCAAGAUUAUGGUAUAAGCUGGAGACAACAUUUUCCUUGCCAAAGCUUAUUAUGCUGAUGCUAUUGGUCCUUGCUAUGGAAUUUCCAAUUAUUGUGAUGUUUUUUGGAUAUGUUGCUCAUUUUAGCUUUUUGGAAGAUCAGCAGCAGGAGUUGCUAAUUGACUCAAGGGCGAUAAAGAAAAUCUUAUACUUAGGAAAUGUCAUGCAACAGAUAUUUUUUGGGACUUGGAUUUGUUUUGUAAAGCUACCUCGACUUAUAUGUGAAAUUUAGGCCAAAUACCACUUAUCAAACUAUUUGUAGGGUGUUGUUGAACUUCAUUAUGAUAUUUGAAUGCUUGAUAUGAUAUUUUGGCAUUUCGUAAUACAA